rnacentral:rRNA from 1 species
UACGUAGGAUGCAAGCGUUGUUCGGAAUUACUGGGCGUAAAGGGCGCGUAGGCGGCCUGUUAAGUCGAACGUGAAAUCCCCGGGCUCAACCCGGGAACUGCGUCCGAUACUGGCAGGCUUGAAUCCGGGAGAGGGAUGUGGAAUUCCAGGUGUAGCGGUGAAAUGCGUAGAUAUCUGGAGGAACACCGGUGGCGAAGGCGGCAUCCUGGACCGGUAUUGACGCUGAGGCGCGAAAGCCAGGGGAGCAAACGGG